rnacentral:piRNA from 1 species
UGAGGCAGCUAAGACAAUCAUAUGAUG